rnacentral:lncRNA from 1 species
GAAUUAGGAGCAAAAAACAGAGUGUAAAGAUUUUAAAAACUCACAUUUCGGCCAAAAAAAGGAGUCCACUGUGGCCAGGAAGGGUGCAUUUGCUGAAGAGAUUAGUGCUUUUAAAAAGAAAAGCUGGACAUGGUGAUGCACGCCUAUACUCACAGUAGCUCAGUAGGCUGAGGCAGGAGGCUUGCAAGUUCAAAGUAAGCCUCAGCAACAGCGAGGUGCUAAGCAACUCAGUGAGACCCUGUCUCCACAUAAAAUACAAAUAGGGCUGGGGAUGUGGCUCAGUGGUUGGGUACCCCUGAGUUCAAUCCCCAGUACACACACACACACACACACACACAGUACUCUGCACUGGGGUAAUAGGAAAGAUGCCUUGGGUGUAUUUCAGGAAUAAAGACCACAUCCACCUUAGGCUCCAAAACUUUCAUUUGAGAAGACAGCCAUGGAGGAACCCUGAUUGCACAAGUCCUCAGGAACUGCUUCCCUGGAAUUUGUUUCUGGUGUUCAGCCAUCCACUCAGAGGCUGCUGAGCCAUGGCCCCAGUGGGCCUGGCUAGUGCUCACACCUGCAGCAGACCUCGGCAUCAUCCAUCUAUGCUGAUUUUAACAGACAUGGAGUAUGCAAGAGUUCUGGGGUAGUGGAGUCUAAAACCAAGAUUUCAAAGGAAAGUUUGUAAAGCCAGGCAGUGUGUGACUGGGGCAGUCCCUACAAGUAGCGCCUGAGAGGAUGAUAAGAAGCUGUGAGAGUGAAGACAAAGCUGCAUGGAGACUCCAGAAUAUCAGAGAUGCCAGAAAUGUAGAACACCUGCUAAAGGAAGCCAUAGGCAGCAAGCAAAGCCAGCCCAAGCAAAUGGCCUUGUGGGCUGCACCCAGCAAGUUCAUAGGGGCAGAGCUACCAAAGUUCUUAAAGGCCCACAUCCCUCCACUGUGUGCCCCAGAUGCUAAACAUGGAACUACAGUAUUUUAAGUUUGCCCUGCUGGGUUUCAUUCUUGCUUUGGUCAGGUUUCUCUUUGUUAUUUUCCUUUUUCUUCCUUUGUAAAUAGGACUGUUUACCCUGUGCACCCAUUGUAUGUUGGAAGUAUAUAACUUGUUUUGUUUUGUUUUUACAGGGGCUCAUAGUAUCUGGGAAGAGACUAGAUUUGGACUUUUGAGCAAGGCUGAAACUGUUAAGAUGUUGGGGACUCUUGGAGAUGGACUGAAUGCAUUUUGCAUUGUAAGGUGGACAUAAGUCUCUGGGGGCCAGGGGUAGAAUGUUACAGUUUGGAUCUGGAAUGUCCCUCAAAAGCUAUGUGUUGAAAGCUUGGUCCCCAGCCUGUGCCACUGUUGGGAGGUGGAUCCUAGUGGAAAGAAUUUAGGUCACUGGGUGCAUGCCUUUGAAAGGGGAUAUCGAGACCUUGUCCUCUCUCUGUCCCUGUUUCUUUGUCUUUCUCCCUCCCUCACCACCCCUUCCUGCUUCUUAACACCAUGAGGUGAGUAGUUAUAUUUCCACCAUGUGCUUCCUGCCAUGAAGUUCUGCCUCACACAGACACAUAAACAAUGGAACCAGCUGACCAUGGACUGAAAAACCUCUGAAACCGUGAGCUAAAAUAAAAAUUUCCUCCUAGUAAGUUGUUUACCUCAGAUAUUUUCUCACAGUGACAAAAAGUUAAUUGACAGUUACUUGGCAGGAAAAAUCAGUUUUGUGGCCCGUGUCUGUUUUAUAUGUUCAACAUAAACUACCCAUUCCUGACUCUCGAUAAGCACUCUAGCAAAGUUCUAGAAGAGUAAGUGGGACUAGAAAUACUGUUUCAGGCAUUUGGGGAAAAUACAAUAUGCCACAUUGUCUUUCACCAAUUCAUUUUGGGGUACAUGUGUGUAUAUUUAAAUCCUGUAUUUAUGUGAACAGUAGGUCUGAAAGGAAAUUUUUCAGGGGCUGGUAUGAUAUAGGAGUCAUACUGUGGUAUGUUAAUUGCAAAGGAAUGAAAUUCUUCACCCUUUCAAGAUUCAUUUAUAAUGCCAAAAUAUUGGCUCUCCUUUUAAGCAUAUCUUUGUCUUUACAGUUCAUCAAUCCAAUAAUUUUCUUUACAUACGUCAAACUCCCAGCAUGGUUCACCCUCUCCCCAUGCACAGCAGUUUAGAUGAAAAGCAUAUUCAAUUCAGAGGACACAACCCUCUUUGUUCUUUUGAUGGUUUCUGAAAGAUUCGGAUUGCAACUGUUCUUUGAAGAUGUGUAUUUUUACUGAAAACAAAUGCCUUUCUGUUAUCUAUGAAUGUAAGGGUUUCUUCUUCUUUUGGUUUUGAUGUGUCUAUUCAUCUUUUUAAAAACUGACACAGGACUAUAUUAAAAAACAUUAAUCUUAAAUUGGCUAAUUCCAAAGAA